GGAAUCUUGCGCAAUGGGCGAAAGCCUGACGCAGCAACGCCGCGUGGGCGAUGAAGGCCUUCGGGUCGUAAAACCCUGUCAGGUGGGAAGAAUCGGUCGGGAGCUAAUAUCUCCCGGCCUUGACUGUACCACCAGAGGAAGCCCCGGCUAACUCCGUGCCAGCAGCCGCGGUAAUACGGAGGGGGCCAGCGUUGUUCGGAAUUAGUGGGCGUAAAGGGCGCGUAGGCGGUCGGGUAAGUCUGACGUGAAAUCCCUUGGCUCAACCAAGGAACUGCGUCUUAAACUGCCCGGCUUGAGUCCGGGAGAGGGUAGUGGAAUUCCCAGUGUAGCGGUGAAAUGCGUAGAUAUUGGGAGGAACACCGGUGGCGAAGGCGGCUACCUGGACCGGUACUGACGCUGAGGCGCGAAAGCUAGGGUAGCAAA
rnacentral:rRNA from 1 species